CCUGCAGAGAGAACGCGGUAACAGCGGGCUCUGACCACGACUGUGCAGGAGCCCGCAGGUCCGGUCAUCCUCCGAGCAGCCGUGGGGGGCGGUGCAGGGCCCUCCGCGGUUUACGGAGCUGGAACGGGCCCAGCGAAUUUGAGGAAGUUACUGCCUGCGCUGAGGCGGCCAGGAUCUGAACAAGAGCUUCUGUCGCAUUUCCCCUCGUGGCACCGUAACCCGCGUGGGUCCUGAGCCCCCAGUGGGGAACCCAAGCCCCGAUCCUUCUGGGACAGAGGGGAUGCUGGUUCCAGGAGUGACAACUGUACUUUCUUUGGAUCUCCUCAUUUGUUGCUUUGGGUGGUGCGAGGGAAGUGGGGCGUGUGGUGACCACGGGACCGUGCCAGUCUACCCUCCAGCUGAGGCCCCAACGAUCCUGGCAGGCGGGGAGCGGGGGAGGAAGGGUCUCCUGUGGGGUGGCCUAGAGACAGGCCCACUCCUACUCUUGAGGAGGGGAAGGGGUGGGGAGCUCUGGGUCCUAAAGCCCUGGUUUCAGCUCUGUUGACCGAGGCGGUUACCGCAUCCCCGCUGGCACCCCACACUGCAGAGGAUCGGAACCGGAGGUAGCUGGAACCAGACCCAGGGGCCUUCAGGAUAAUUCUGAUGCUGGAAGAAACCAGAGACAGAUAGAGCCAACACCUUCCCCACCCGGCCAGCCACAGCUGUUCCUCACCUGCACCCCCAGCUGACUGCCCACACAACCCGGUUUGAUUCUUAUUGAUACCUGUUGUGUGCCAGUGCUACUGUGUCAUUUAAUCCUCAGUGCCUGUGAGACAGGUGAUUUGUCUCACUUUACAGAUGAAAAAAAGAGGUUGGAAGUUCAAAUAUUUGGGUUAGGGUCCCAUGGUCGGACCAUAGCAGAACUGGGGGACUCGGCUCAGAACCCUGACGGGCCAGCCCUUUGCACGGUCCCUGCCGUGGGCAAGGCAGCCCUCGCUGCAGCCAGACAGUGGCCUGGGAGGCCCGUU